rnacentral:rRNA from 1 species
AUUGAACGCUGGCGGCAUGCUUUACACAUGCAAGUCGAACGGCAGCACAGGGAGCUUGCUCCCGGGUGGCGAGUGGCGCACGGGUGAGUAAUACAUCGGAACGUGUCCUGUUGUGGGGGAUAACUGCUCGAAAGGGUGGCUAAUACCGCAUGAGACCUGAGGGUGAAAGCGGGGGAUCGCAAGACCUCGCGCAAUUGGAGCGGCCGAUGCCCGAUUAGCUAGUUGGUGGGGUAAAGGCUCACCAAGGCGACGAUCGGUAGCUGGUCUGAGAGGACGACCAGCCACACUGGGACUGAGACACGGCCCAGACUCCUACGGGAGGCAGCAGUGGGGAAUUUUGGACAAUGGGGGGCAACCCUGAUCCAGCCAUGCCGCGUGCAGGAUGAAGGCCUUCGGUUGUAACUGCUUUGUCAGGGACGAAAAGGACCGUGUUAAUACCAUGGUCUGCUGACGGUA